UGGUGAUUGAGCACCUGGUGAUGGAGUAUGGCUGGCCCAGGAAGCGCAGGUGCAAACAAUUUAUGUGUGCUUCCCACAUGACCAGAAGGGAUGGACCCAGGGUCCACUCUCCCUUCUUUCCUGGGCUCCUUUAAGGGCUAGCCUGUAAAGGAAGAACAUCUCCUAGAUGAAGGCUGUUUCCUUAAAAAGGAUGUUCCAUAGUCACUACCUGGAAGAAAAACUUCAUCUACGUUGUUUCUGAGUAAGAUGGACCAGGGAAGUGACCUGAAACCAGAGACCGGUGCCUGACCUCCACACACUAUACUUGAUCUCAAGCUCACUUGUAACCAGGUCACUGUGCUGCCAAGACAACAGCUUGCAGUGUCACUCACCAGCAGAGCAGCCAGAAUGGAAAUAACUGGCUGAUUCCAGAGACAACGGGCCCCUGCUGAUGGCUGAACCAAGUAGGCAUCCAUGGCUAUUGCAUGCUAGGGGAGUGCAGGAGGACAGCAGAGUGCUGCCUGGGGCACUGUGCUGAGGCACCUUGGCACUGCUCACCUGCAGCCAGGCGUGAGCCAACCCAAGCAGUGCUGCUGGAAAGCUGAGCCCAGGUUACUGACGUGGCAGCUCACGCCAUGUGAACUGCGGUGCUGGCAGUUAAACUGCUGGGUUUUAAAUUCUUCUUGUUCUGAACAGUGAUCUAGAUUAUUUUGUCUAAGCGGAUUUUAAGAAUCUGAAGGAUUUAAAAUGUUAGCAUGCAUUGUACUACGAGUGAUUUUUUUUCUUUUUAAUUUAGUUUUUUGAGUUAAAAUAGCAAAAUAUGCCUUUAAAUCCAAAAAUUAGUUGAAGAAUGAUUUAAAGUUGGGAAUCAGGUUUCCAAGCCUUCAAUCAGUAGCUUUCCCUGACAAAGCCAUGUUUGAUUUAAAAAAAAAAAUAAAUAAAUAAUAAAAAAAAAAAUCCCAUUGCUAAAACCAUAUCAGGGGUUCUCAGGAGCACCACAGGUUGGCCUCACAGUUUCAAAUGGUGUCCAUUUCUCGAGAUUCUCUAUCUUCCCUCAAAACUUGUAAGAAAUGCAGUACAAUUUCAAAAAUGUCUGUAUUUCUUCAUUCUCACAGAUGGACCCAAUUAUAAACAGAAUCACAGUUGCUAUAGAAUAAAAAUAUAGAUAAUAUCUCUAGAUACUAUGCUAUAGAUAAAAAAAAUCCCUGAAAUUGGCAUUAUAAGGCAUAAUACAUGCAUCUUUUUUGGUUCUGCAUCACUGCCUAUCUGAGUAGAAGGAGGCACUGUGGACAGGAACCUUGACAUACUAUGGGGCCUGUAGGGAAGAGAAAUAAACCUCUGAGGAAGUAAUUGCAGAACAGUUGGGAACCUGAGACAGAGGAGACUUGCCAUCAACUGUGCAGUGGGAACAUCGCAUGCUUGAGCGCC